AACAGUGACUAAUACCGGAUAAAACCCAAGUGCACAUGCACUAAGGUUAAAAGCUGCGUUUGCAGCGCUUUAAGAUGGAUUCGCGGUGCAUUAGUUAGUUGGUGAGGUAAAGGCUCACCAAGACGAUGAUGCAUAGCCGAGUUGAGAGACUGACCGGCCACAUUGGGACUGAGACACGGCCCAAACUCCUACGGGAGGCUGCAGUAGGGAAUCUUCCACAAUGGGCGCAAGCCUGAUGGAGCAACGCCGCGUGUGUGAUGAAGGCUUUCGGGUCGUAAAGCACUGUUGUAUGGGAAGAACGGGUUUAAGAGGAAAUGCUUAGACAGUGACGGUACCAUACCAGAAAGGGACGGCUAAAUACGUGCCAGCAGCCGCGGUAAUACGUAUGUCCCGAGCGUUAUCCGGAUUUAUUGGGCGUAAAGCGAGCGCAGACGGUUGCUUAAGUCUGAAGUGAAAGCCCACAGCUCAACUGUGGAAUGGCUUUGGAAACUGGGCAACUUGAGUACAGUAGAGGUAAGUGGAACUCCAUGUGUAGCGGUGGAAUGCGUAGAUAUAUGGAAGAACACCAGUGGCGAAGGCGGCUUACUGGACUGCAACUGACGUUGAGGCUCGAAAGUGUGGGUAGCAAACAGGAUUAGAUACCCUGGUAGUCCACACCGUAAACGAUGGAUACUAGUUGUUAGAGGGUUUCCGCCCUUUAGUGACGAAGCAAACGCAUUAAGUAUCCCGCCUGGGGAGUACGACCGCAAGGUUGAAACUCAAAGGAAUUGACGGGGACCCGCACAAGCGGUGGAGCAUGUGGUUUAAUUCGAAGCAACGCGAAGAACCUUACCAGGUCUUGACAUCCUUUGAAGGUACUAGAGAUAGUACUGUCUUCUUCGGAAGCAAAGUGACAGGUGGUGCAUGGCCGUCGUCAGCUCGUGUCGUGAGAUGUUGGGUUAAGUCCCGCAACGAGCGCAACCCUUAUGUUUAGUUGCCAGCAUUCAGUUGGGCACUCUAGACAGACUGCCGGUGACAAACCGGAGGAAGGCGGGGACGACGUCAGGUCAUCAUGCCCCUUAUGACCUGGGCUACACACGUGCUACAAUGGCGUAUACAACGAGCAGCAAACCUGUGAAGGUAAGCGAAUCUCUUAAAGUACGUCUCAGUUCGGAUUGUAGUCUGCA
rnacentral:rRNA from 1 species